CCCGGCUCUUUUUACUAAGUUUUUUUUACCUCCUUUAGGGAGGGCUGGUUUUGCCCUGGAUCGAAGCUUCUAGUAAAAUCUAGGUUAGAACGGCUCGGAGCAGCCGCUGCGCGCUCGCCAGCCUCCCAGCACCCUUGUCCCGGGCCGGCCUGGCGGGCACCUGGCCUACUGCCGGCAGCCCACCUCCUUGAGCCGACCCGCUUCCUCUGUCCUCAGCACUGGCCCAGUCACCUCCGGCCUCCCUUGCGCUCCCCGGCCCCCUCCCGCCACUGUCGGUGCAAAGUGACAGUCGCUGCACUCACCUUUUCUAGGACAUGGUAGGGAGGCUGGGGCGGGGGAGGGGGCCAGCGAGACUCCCGCCGUCUCCGCCGCUGCCGCCGCCACCAGCAAGUCCAAUACCCGCUGAUCGGCAAUGAGGAUGGAGAGGAUAGCAAUCCUGGCAGUCGCCCUACUGACGCUGAAGAUUGGCAAGGAAGGAAUCCAUCCUCACAGAUCUUCAACGCUGCUAAUGUCUGAGUAGCACUAACCAACCUAAGUGCCGUGGAGACAAUCAAGGCAGAGAUGUCUCUGCUUCUAAGAGUCACAACAUACAACACGACCGCUGACCUCCUCAUUAGAUGUCUUCAAAUCCAGGGGAAGAGACCUGUGAGUUAUAAUUAGAGUAAAAUCCCAGCUGUCCUGGAGGCCACAGUGAUGAAAGGAAUCAACAACAGCUUUACAAGAUGCACAUCUCUACAUUUGGACUAGUACUAGCUCCUGAAAGUAGUAAUUAGGUGGCAUACUAGUUACUCUUCUCAUUGUGGCUAUGAAGGACCUGACAAAACCAUCGUAUGGAAAGAAUGUUUACCUUGGUGUUUAUCAUGGUGGGGACAACAUGGCAACAGGAGCCUGGAGCAGUUGGUUCCAUUGUAUCUGCAGUCAGGGAGCCAAGAACUACAGCCCAUGGGAUGGUGCACCCAUGCUUAGAGUGAUGUUUUCUACGUCAGUUAAGACGAUCAUUUCAGCAAGGAAGCUGCCUUAAAUUGUCCUUAGUAUACAUAGUCUUUAUUUAUCAAGCUUAGUCACUCUGCUUAGCAUUUCUAUCUCACUAUAGCAACACCCGACCCCCACCCCCCAAUCAAAGAUAGAAUUCAUUCUUUCAAUUUCCCAGGUUAAACCUCAGCCCAUUUCAUGAUUCCUGCUUAAUAUCCACGACCCACCUGAGGCCUCCUUAAAAUGUAUGCUGGUUUUUGUUUUUUUUGUUUGUUUUUUUGUUUUUUUGCUUUACUUUCUACAUGAUGGGUAAGGGGGAAUCUUCUUUUAAAGAAUUACAUGUUCAAAAUUAAACAUAGACAUUAUUAUUUAUUUUUAUUGGGGAAAAAAGGGAUGAAAGCUGCCAGAUCUCACAAAUGUUAGAAAUUUCAUAAAAUUCCUGGAGUGGUUUUAUGACUUCACUGUCCAAUAUACAGUAGCAUCCUUUCUAGGCUGCACAGUUAUUGAUGAUCUCCUGUAAGUCAAACUUUACAUUUUUUUCUAGAAAGAUUAGAAAGCCAACCGACUCACUCUCUGCUCCAACUUGGUGGACUGACAUUUGAAAAAUAUUAAUAGUUUAGAAAAGUUGGAUGUAGCAUCAAAGCUUAUUGUUGAUAAUGUCAUGUAAAUUGUUCUUAAAUUUUUUCAUAAACUGCUUUAGACCUACUGUAAGAUAGGACUAAAAGCUUGUGUUGUAUAAAUCUAGGCAUUCUGGUAAACUUUGUUUUCUAUAAUUCCAAGACAAAAAGAAACAGAAUAUGAUAUAUUGCAAUGUCGUAUUCUAGUUAUAAAGUGAUUGGUGCACUUGUUGAAUACAUUCUUGACAGAAUUUCUAUUCUGAUUCAACGAAAACUGGAUCCUCUACUUUCAGUUUGAUAUAUCUCAUAGAUGUUUUUAUGCAGUUUAUUCUAGCUCCAUGAAUUUCAAAACAAUUUCUCUUCAACUUUCAAUCACCUUUGUAACCUUGGCAUAAUAUAUCCAGUGGACCUGAAUCUUCAUGUAAGUUGGCACUAGGGCAAAACAGUAUUUUUUUUCUUGGGUAUUUUUUAUUUACAUUUCAAAUAUUAUCCCCUUUCCUGAUUUCCCUCCAGAAACCCCUAUCACAUCCU